rnacentral:rRNA from 1 species
UACGGAGGGUGCAAGCGUUAUCCGGAUUCACUGGGAUUAAAGGGUGCGUAGGCGGGUUGGUAAGUCCGUGGUGAAAUCCCCAAGCUUAACUUGGGAACUGCCGUGGAUACUAUCAAUCUUGAAUAUCGUGGAGGUAAGCGGAAUAUGUCAUGUAGCGGUGAAAUGCUUAGAUAUGACAUAGAACACCAAUUGCGUAGGCAGCUUACUACACGAUCAUUGACGCUGAGGCACGAAAGCGUGGGGAGCAAACAGG